rnacentral:lncRNA from 1 species
UCUUGCAUUGAAUCUCCACAUCACUAAAUCACACUAUGUCCAUUUGUUUUUGUUUUUCUGGUGAGAAGUGCUCUAGAGAGCCUGGUAAUAUCACCGAGUGUAAGUCUACUAAUAUUCUUCCAUUUAUGUUUUCUGUGCUUGCUUAUCACUGAAUGAGAUCUUAAUUUGAUGUUAUCGUGUCUGUGCUUAUUUUGCAGCUUGCAGGGCAAGGAGCGCUGACCGCAGAGUUCACUUUAAGGCAUUGUGUUUAUGAUUUAGAUGGGUUUUGUUUUCUAUGGCCUUUACUUCUUAU